rnacentral:rRNA from 1 species
UACGAAGGGGGCUAGCGUUGCUCGGAAUCACUGGGCGUAAAGCGCACGUAGGCGGAUUGUUAAGUCAGGGGUGAAAUCCUGGAGCUCAACUCCAGAACUGCCUUUGAUACUGGCGAUCUCGAGUCCGGGAGAGGUGAGUGGAAUUUCGUGUGUAGGGGUGAAAUCCGUAGAUCUACGAAGGAACGCCAAAAGCGAGGGCAGCUCUCUGGGUCCCUACCGACGCUGGGGUGCGAAAGCAUGGGGAGCGAACAGG